rnacentral:rRNA from 1 species
GUGUCAGCAGCCGCGGUAAUACAUGGGGUGCAAACGUUGCUCGGAAUUAUUGGGCGUAAAGCGCGCGUAGGCGGUCGCUUAAGUCGGAUGUGAAAUCCCUCGGCUUAACUGAGGAAGUGCAUCCGAGACUGAAUGGCUAGAGUACGAAAGAGGGUCGCGGAAUUCCCGGUGUAGAGGUGAAAUUCGUAGAUAUCGGGAGGAACACCGGCGGCGAAGGCGGCGACCUGGUUCGAGACUGACGCUGAGGCGCGAAAGCGUGGGGAGCAAACAGGAUUAGAAACCCGCGUAGUCC